UACAGAGACGUCGAGCGUUGUUCGGAUUCAUUGGGCGUAAAGGGUGCGUAGGCGGUGAGGUAAGUCGGAUGUGAAAUCCCAAAGCUUAACUUUGGAAGUGCAUCCGAAACUCCCUCGCUUGAGGACUGGAAGGGAGACUGGAAUUCUCGGUGUAGCGGUGAAAUGCGUAGAUAUCGAGAGGAACACCUGUGGCGAAGGCGGGUCUCUGGACAGUUCCUGACGCUGAGGCGCGAAAGCUAGGGGAGCAAACGGG
rnacentral:rRNA from 1 species